rnacentral:lncRNA from 1 species
CUUUCCAAGGGUGGUUUUCACGUGAGUCUUGAUUUUGUCUUUAUAUGCGAGGGAACUACUGGGAACUGGGCCUGACUUUGUAGAUCCUCCUUUUCUUGGCGGGGACCGGGCGUGCGGUCCCGCUCCCCGUAAUGUACGGAGGUAGAAGAAAGGGCUCUGGCCCUCUCGGCGUUAUGUCUUCGGUGCUUGCGGCUUCCCGUUCGCGGGUUCUAUCCUCAGACGCCGGAACACUUAACCGUGCAGAAAUGUAGCUAGGUCCCGCAGUCCCCUCUGGGUUACUCAACGCUUUUUAUUUUAUUUUAGGUCGACAUUGACGCUCCCGGAGUGAUGGUUAACAUUUUCUUUGCUGUUUAUUAUUGAAUCAAUAAAGUCUGUGAACCCUAAGGACCCUGUGUUCGCUACCUUUUUUUUCUGCGACUCGUAAUUUGCAAAUCUUUAGGACCGAAAGCACAUGUUGGGAGUGAUAGUGACUAUUCACUAAAGAUCUCUGGUCGAUCUUGUGGGGGGACUUAAUAAGCUAAAUCUCAACCAGGAUGUAAAUCUUUAUGAGUAUAGAAAGUGCGCUCCUAAAGGCAUGGGAAUCAAACCUGUAGUUAUGGUAAAAAGCCUAGCGUAAUGGUGCGCACGUGUAAUCAGCAGAACUAACCUGGGGUAGCAUGCACCCUUAUCUUCAAGCUUCCUGGCAUUUAAACUGGCGGUAGGCACAGCUUUCUCACUAAGAUAUUGGAAGUAAAACUAGGAUCUCAAUCCUCCACAGGCAUGCCCUGUGGAUGUUCUCGGGGUGGACUUGUCUCCGUGCUGGGACCUACAUAAACAGCCUUAUACAAGGAGGCCAUUGCCAUUCCCAGUGCAGAAUCUGGGAGCCCUAGCAUCCUUAGGUUCCUCACAGCUCUCCAGGGAUAAUUGUUGCUAAGCGAGAUUUGCCUGAGGAUUCAAGGACCCUCCUUUUCAGCUGCCCUACUAGAAGUAAGAAAAAAAAAAUCCAAUGGCUGGACUGGGUAUAAAAAUUAAGCCCUAAACCGGGCAAUGGUGGCCCACACAUUUAAUCCCAGCACUUGGCAGGCAGUGACAGGCAGAUUUCUGAGUUCAAGGCCGGCCUGGUCUACAGCGUGAGUUCCAGGACAGCCAGGGUGAUACAGAGAAACCUUGUCUCGAAAGACCAAAGAAUAAAAGUUAAGGCCUUAUAAGACAUUCAGUUAAAUCUCAAAAGAUUUCUGAGAGUUUCCAUUCUGCUUUUGUUGGUCAAACAUAGAGUUGGAAUUUUGCCAUUGUAUGAAUAGCUAGUAAUUGAGAGUGUUUUCCUGGUUUGCACAAUUUGUGUCCUGGUUCAUAAACCUGGAGCCUGAGGGUAAUACUGGGUUACCAGGUGGGGAGACCUGACAUCAUUACUGGCUGGGCUCAAUCUGAACUGCAGAGCUGGUGUGAAUUGUGUGUCCUGCAGCUUAGAGUAAGCCAAAGAGCUUUGAAAACAAUAAUAAUGGAGAUGAAAUUGGAGGAAAAAAAAAAACACCAAUACUUACCCCCAAAAGUACUGAGAGGUGGGAAAUGGGGAUAUUCCAUAAAUCGUGUUCUAUAGAUGCAGGACCCUGUUGGGUCCCAAAGAGGACAGAGAUUGGGAGUUUCCUGACCCUCUGUAUCUUCAGGAAUCCAGAAGGCAUCUUGUUCUUGACCCCAGCCAAGUCCAGGGUUUAUUGUUCUUAAAGGAGAUGUGGGAUCCUGUGGGAUCCAGGCCCAACCUGGGAGAAGAGUAAAUAUUCUUGAUAUGCUGUGUCUUUAAUUGAUUUGAGACAAGGUCUCUCCAUGUAGCCUUGGCUGGUCUUUAACAUGUAACAGGACAAGCUGGCUACCAUGCCUGACCCAGAUAAAUAAAGAUUUAGUUGUUUUAGUGUGCAUAAAUGUUUGCCAUAUGCAUGUCUGGUACAUGAGGAUGUUAGAAGAAAUCUGAUCCCCUAGACCUGGAGCUACAGAUGCUUGUGAACUACCACAAGAGUUCUAGAAAACAAAUCUAGGCCCCUCUGCAAAGGUAGCAAGUUCUCUUAGAACUGCUGAGCCUCAUUAUUUGUGUGUGAGGCAAUAGAGUUUUAUUCUACCUUUAAUCCAGUACCGGGUCAGUGGAACUAGUCAAAUUUCUAUGAGAUCCAAGCCCAGCUUGUGGGAGUGGGGUUGGUAAUUUGUGCAUAUUUGUAUUAGGAGGCAGAGACUGACAUCAGGUAUCUUCCUCAAUUGCCCUUCACUUGAUAUACGGAGAGCUUGCCUAUGGAGUUAGUCUAGCUGGGUAGUUUGCUUGCUCCAGGGAUCUCAACCUCUAGAGUACACUGCGAUUGCGGGUAAGCUGUCAUGCACAACUGGUCUGUCCAUAUAGAUAACAGGGAUCUGAGUUCAAGUGCACAUGCUUUCAGAACAAGCACUACCUACUGAGCUGUCCCUCUAUCCCUAUUCUCUCAUUUAUAAAGGGAAAUUGUCUCCUUUAAUUGAGUUGUUCUGAAAACUCUUAAAAGUAUUUAGCAUUGUGACUGGAGCAUAAUGCACACACACACACACAAAACCCAACAACUCUUUAUGUUUUUGUUUUUGUUUUUCGAGACAGGGUUUCUCUGUGUAGCCCUGGCUGUCCUGGAACUCACUUUGUAGACCAGGCUGGCCUUGAACUCAGAAAUCCACCUGCCUCUGCCUCCCAAGUGCUAGGAUUAAAGGCGUGUGCCACCACACCCGGCAACAACUUUUUAAUAACAACAUACAGCCGUUCAUUAACCUCCAAAAUGUUAAUUACCUCUAGAUAGAUACAGGGUAAUUACAUCAUCUUCCUUCCCCAGUAAUGAGCCAUUAAAAUAUUAUUAGACACCAGCAAGAUCCGAGCCAUGCAAGAUAAAUAAUAAAUCAUAUCUCCAGAACAAAAAGGGACAAAAGCAAAUUAAGGCUACAGGUGAAGCUCAGUAGCUGAUAAAUUACCUAACAUGCAAAAGGCCUUCAUUUGUGGGGCUGGUCAAACAGCUUAGCCAGCAAAAGCUCAAGUGAGCCAAGUAUCAGGGUGCUUAAUUGCUAAGACCCACAUCCAUCGUUGUCCUGCUUAACACAGGGUCUCAAUGCAUAGCUCUGGUUGUUCUGCAACUCGAUGUGUGGAAACUCAGAUCCUGCCUCUGCCUCGAAGUGCUGGGAUUAAAAGUGUGCACCACCAGUGGCCCAGCCACAUAAACAUUUUUUAAAAAGUGCUUUAAAGCCCUGGGUUCAAUCCUCAACAGUACAAACAAAGGAAAACAAAAACCAUGCAC